UCCCUGGAGGACUAGUGGUUAGGCCAUGGCGCUCUUGCCGCUCUGGCCCAGGUUCGAUUCUCGGCCAGGGAA
rnacentral:tRNA from 1 species